UACGGGGGGGGCAAGCGUUGUUCGGAAUUACUGGGCGUAAAGUGUGCGCAGGCGGCGCUGCAAGUCGAGUGUGAAAUCCCCGAGCUUAACUUGGGAAUUGCGCUCGAAACUACGGCGCUGGAGUAUGGCAGAGGAAGGUGGAAUUCCACGUGUAGCGGUGAAAUGCGUAGAGAUGUGGAGGAACACCGAUGGCGAAGGCAGCCUUCUGGGCCAAUACUGACGCUCAUGCACGAAAGCGUGGGGAGCAAACAGG
rnacentral:rRNA from 1 species